rnacentral:rRNA from 1 species
AGAGUUUGAUCCUGGCUCAGGAUGAACGCUAGCUACAGGCUUAACACAUGCAAGUCGAGGGGCAGCAUGAUCUAAGCUUGCUAGAUGAUGCGACGCGCACGGGUGAGUAACGCGUAUCCAACCUUCCCUAUAGUAGAGGAUAGCCCGGCGAAAGUCGGAUUAAUACUCUAUGUUUUCCAAUGCAGACAUCUAAGUUGGAACAAAGGUUCACCGCUAUAGGAUGGGGAUGCGUCUGAUUAGAUAGUAGGCGGGGUAACGGCCCACCUAGUCGACGAUCAGUAGGGGUUCUGAGAGGAAGGUCCCCCACAUUGGAACUGAGACACGGUCCAAACUCCUACGGGAGGCAGCAGUGAGGAAUAUUGGUCAAUGGGCGAGAGCCUGAACCAGCCAAGUAGCGUGCAGGAUGACGGCCCUAUGGGUUGUAACUGCUUUUAGUACGGGGAUAAAGUGAGGGACGUGUCCCUUAUUGUAGGUACCGUAUGAAUAAGGACCGGCUAAUUCCGUGCCAGCAGCAGC